CGAACCUCCGAGGAAUCUCCCUCCUCCUCCUCCGUCCGUCUGCUCCGGCAGCGGCGACUACUCGGACGGUGACGAUGGGCGUGGCUGAUCGAAUGGAGCCAAACAGAAUGACAGCUCCCCGUCGUUCACUACCUUCGAGCUGGAGGAGCUCGACGGCGACCCUUUUCACGCUCUCCUCUUGAACCCGUUGUUCUGCUUGAAGGGACACAACUAUUAGGAUCCAGAAAGAUUUUAUUGAAGAAGUGAUUGGCCUUAAACACUGUGAUUGGGUAAAUAUGUUUCUGAGGUGAUUUAUAUAGGAGGUGACAUAUUACUCCAUCUGGGCCCAGUGGUAGACUUUUAUAAGCUGGAACAUUUCUUAACAACUCA